GGAAUAUUGGACAAUGGGCGAAAGCCUGAUCCAGCCAUGCCGCGUGUGUGAAGAAGGUCUUCGGAUUGUAAAGCACUUUAAGUUGGGAGGAAGGGUUGUAGAUUAAUACUCUGCAAUUUUGACGUUACCGACAGAAUAAGCACCGGCUAACUCUGUGCCAGCAGCCGCGGUAAUACAGAGGGUGCAAGCGUUAAUCGGAAUUACUGGGCGUAAAGCGCGCGUAGGUGGUUUGUUAAGUUGAAUGUGAAAUCCCCGGGCUCAACCAGGGAACUGCAUCCAAGACUGGCAAGCUAGAGUAGGGCAGAGGGUGGUGGAAUUUCCUGUGUAGCGGUGAAAUGCGUAGAUAUAGGAAGGAACACCAGUGGCGAAGGCGACCACCUGGGCUCAUGCUGACACUGAGGUGCGAAAGCGUGGGGAGCAAACAGGAUUAGAUACCCUAG
rnacentral:rRNA from 1 species